UCACUGGACCAGACCUUUAUAAUUGUGCACACACAGCAGACCGUGAUUUGUACACAGACUAAGAAGAUUCACUGCAGCUGUGAUUUUCAUAUUUUAAUAGAUUCCAUUUAACAAUCAAGUUUAAUUGGACAGGGAAGAAGUUAAAAAAAGGCUUCUCAGCCCUCAAGUUCACGAAAGUUAUAACUCGCGCUGUACGAAAAACCCGCCUUACGACAAAGGCCACUGACAAUGAAGUUGACAAUAUAGCCAAAGACUGGUUGAGGUAUGCAGGGGACCGAGAAGGGGGCAGACAAAAAUAGAAGAAAUUAAAAGACAGAAAGAGGCGGCGACAGCUGCACUGAUGGCAUCGGCUACCGAUCAUCCAGUGUAAAAAAUAAAAAGAUGGAU